rnacentral:rRNA from 1 species
GUGGGGAAUAUUGGGCAAUGGGCGAAAGCCUGACCCAGCAACGCCGCGUGAAGGAAGAAGGUUUUCGGAUCGUAAACUUCUAUCCUUGGUGAAGAUAAUGACGGUAGCCAAGAAGGAAGCCCCGGCUAACUACGUGCCAGCAGCCGCGGUAAUACGUAGGGGGCAAGCGUUGUCCGGAAUGAUUGGGCGUAAAGGGCGCGUAGGCGGCCUGGUAAGUCUGGAGUGAAAGUCCUGCUUUUAAGGUGGGAAUUGCUUUGGAUACUGUCGGGCUUGAGUGCAGGAGAGGUAAGCGGAAUUCCCGGUGUAGCGGUGAAAUGCGUAGAGAUCGGGAGGAACACCAGUGGCGAAGGCGGCUUACUGGACUGUAACUGACGCUGAGGCGCGAAAGUGUGGGGAGCAAACAGGAUUAGAAACCCUUGUAGUCC